UCCCUGGUGGCUCAGAUGGUAAAGCAUCUGCCUACAAAGCAGGAGACUCACAUUCAAUCCCUGGUCAGGAAG
rnacentral:tRNA from 1 species